rnacentral:lncRNA from 1 species
UUUUUUUAUUUUUGAGACAGAGUCUUGCUCUGUCGCUCAGGCUGGAGUGCAGUGGCUCUAUCGCGGGUCACUGCAACCUCCGCUUCCCGGGUUCAAGAGAUACUCGUGCCUGACCUCAGGUGAUCCGCCUGCCUUGGCCUCCCAAAGUGUUGGGAUUACAAGUGUGAGCCUCCGUGCUCGGCCUCAACUUAUUUUUAAAUUUCCAUUGAUCUCUUCUUUGACCUAGAGAUUUGGAAUUAUGUUGCUUGAUUUCCAAUAUUUCCGGAAUUUUCUGGCUUUUUUAGGUUGAUUUCUAGUUUUAGUUCUAUUGCGGUUACAGAUGAUACUCUGAUUUCAAUUCUCUCAAAUUUGAGACUCACACUGAGGAUUAAGUAUAAAAAAAUUUUUUUUGAGACCUGUUUUAUGGCCUUGCCUCACAAACUUGAUUUUGUUAAGGUGGGGUAAUUAUAGUGCGUUCAGUGAUGGAUUUUUCUUCUGCUUUGGUUAUGCAUAGAGUGCACUGUGGCCCUUCAAAUCCCACACGGUACUUUCCUCAUCUGGAGGUCCUACAGGUUUACACCAGGGAGGAGGAUCCAGUUCAGGCCAGCGUAGUCUUCAGUUGCACCGUGGGACUUUUGGGGGAACAGCUUUGCCCUCUCAGAACGGCUGGGCGGAACGGUGGGUUUGUGAGCCCUCCAGGCUCAGGGUGGGUCGCUCAGGGGCCAUCUGGGGACUUUGGGAAGCAAUGAAAGUUGUAUCCUAGGAUUUUUUCUAUUGGUCUUCUCUUCAGAGGCGAGAAAGCCAAGUUAAGAAAACCCAGACUCAGAUGGAGGCGGAGCGGGGCUGCGUUCCGGCAAGGGGGCAGAACGCCUCGCCCUGGACGAAGAGAGCACAUCUCUUACCAGGCCUAAGGAAGCAGGGGCUCCCAUCUGCCUUGGCACCCCAGGGACCCAGCCAAGGAGAGUGCCUCCAGAAUAACCCUUCCUCUCCUCCUUCCUUCCCAGCCGCUCAAACUUUCACAGGAACUGGGUGUGGCAAAGAGGCAAGACACGGAACAGCUAGUCCGCUCACCAAAGACAGGGCAAGGAGGAGCCCGCGAACCUGCGUCU